rnacentral:rRNA from 1 species
UACGAAGGUGGCAAGCGUUGUUCGGAAUUAUUGGGCGUAAAGGGUGCGUAGGCGGUUUGGUAAGUCUUAUGUGAAAUCUACAGGCUCAACUUGUAGUCUGCAUGAGAAACUGCCGGGCUUGAGUAUGGGAGAGGUGAGUGGAAUUCCUGGUGUAGCGGUGAAAUGCGUAGAUAUCAGGAGGAACACCUGUGGCGAAAGCGGCUCACUGGACCAUAACUGACGCUGAUGCACGAAAGCUAGGGGAGCAAACAGG